rnacentral:lncRNA from 1 species
AUGCUGGAGCAGAACAACAACUCUUCUCCGAAGCUCGUCAAACUCAGUCCUGCUUUCGAACGACAACAUUUCUUCUCUCACUAUACUACACCUUUCAUCAUGGAUACCCUAAUGGAUGAAGUCUUGUCUAAUUUCCCCAGCAUUUCUUGGCCAGUGGAAUGGACGCACUUCUCUGCAUCUCCUGAGCGGCUGGUCUUGGCUGCUGGCGGACUUCCCAUUGGUGUGUCUGUCGUCCUUGGCGUUGUUGUAGCUAUCGUAAUGGCCCGUCUCUUUCGAUCACAAACUCCACCUAAAGCUGAUCGUGCGGCAGACGAAGUUUCUCGUGCCGGAGUUCAUCGCAUGGAGCAGUUUGGAGAAACUUGUGCAACGGGUGACAGGUCAAUAAGUGGACACCACGAUCUUGAACUGGACAACAGUACCUUGGACAAAAUCCAGGAGCGUUUUAACCUUGUGCUGCAAAGGCAGGAAGCAAUGGCACACACAGAUAUACUUGAACAAUCCCCUGCAGAAUGUCACAGCUACACACCUACUGGCCAGAUUCAAGACACAGAAGAGGAUACAGCAGUGGAGCAAGAGGAGCACAUGAUAAUUGAUGAUGAUCAUGAAGAAAGCGAAGAAGCUGAAUAUAUCAAUAAUGAAGAAGGUGGUUCAUCCUAUCCCGAAGAAGAUCUUGAGUCCGAACCAGUCGAAUUGGAUGUUACAAAAGAAAACACGAUUCGCACUGAAAGCUCCAGACAUUUGCUAGGGAGACGACAACUGACAACUGACAACUGACAACCACAGCAGCUCAGCAGACAGCAACUCAAGACCCUCAGUUCAAACGUCUUCACUGCUGCGCUCUCCCUGUUGCUUAACUGCCACUAUGUCUGAAGUGAUGCUGCUUUAUAUAUCUGAAGUCCCCCGGCCUCUAGGGUUGAGGCUUCCCACAACUACACCACCUCACGAGAGUCAUGCAAGCAUCCCCAUGGCGACAGUCACUCACUUCUCGCCAUCUCAUCGGAACAUAUGCGGGAAUUGCACCGUGGAUAUUCCACGUUCACUGGUGGAACAUGUGGGGGUCGUUCAAGUGGAAAUACUCUGUUCCCACAGACAUUUGGGGCAGGUGGGAAAGGACAAUGGGGAAUGACUAAGAAUCACAGUGUGGAAAGACAGAAAUGGAGGUGAAGGCUUAAAGGAGCUUCCGAAAUGUCCGAUCCUGACCGUUACAAAACACCUACACUAACAUUCAUUCAGAGAUAGCUUGUUCAUAAUAACCCCUCAUUCACCCG